ACUACGGGAGGCAGCAGUGGGGAAUAUUGGGCAAUGGGCGCAAGCCUGACCCAGCAACGCCGCGUGAAGGAAGAAGGCUUUCGGGUUGUAAACUUCUUUUGUCAGGGACGAAGCAAGUGACGGUACCUGACGAAUAAGCCACGGCUAACUACGUGCCAGCAGCCGCGGUAAUACGUAGGUGGCAAGCGUUAUCCGGAUUUACUGGGUGUACAGGGCGUGUAGGCGGGGAAGCAAGUCAGAUGUGAAAACCACGGGCACAACCUGUUGCCUGCAUUUGAAACUGUUUUUCUUGAGUGCUGGAGAGGCAAUCGGAAUUCCGUGUGGAGCGGUGAAAUGCGGAGAUAUACGGAGGAACACCGGUGGCGAAGGCGGAUUGCUGGACAGUAACUGACGCUGAGGCGCGAAAGCGUGGGGAGCAAACAGGAUUAGAUACCCUGGUAGUC
rnacentral:rRNA from 1 species